GAUGAACGCUGGCGGCGUGCCUAAUACAUGCAAGUCGAGCGGACAGACGAGGAGCUUGCUCCUCUGACGUUAGCGGCGGACGGGUGAGUAACACGUGGAUAACCUACCUAUAAGACUGGGAUAACUUCGGGAAACCGGAGCUAAUACCGGAUAAUAUAUUGAACCGCAUGGUUCAAUAGUGAAAGACGGUUUUGCUGUCACUUAUAGAUGGAUCCGCGGCGCAUUAGCUAGUUGGUAAGGUAACGGCUUACCAAGGCAACGAUGCGUAGCCGACCUGAGAGGGUGAUCGGCCACACUGGAACUGAGACACGGUCCAGACUCCUACGGGAGGCAGCAGUAGGGAAUCUUCCGCAAUGGGCGAAAGCCUGACGGAGCAACGCCGCGUGAGUGAUGAAGGUCUUCGGAUCGUAAAACUCUGUUAUUAGGGAAGAACAAAUGUGUAAGUAACUAUGCACGUCUUGACGGUACCUAAUCAGAAAGCCACGGCUAACUACGUG
rnacentral:rRNA from 1 species